AAAGGCCAAUCAAACCGGGAGAUAGCUGGUUCUCCCCGAAAGCUAUUUAGGUAGCGCCUCGUGAAUUCAUCUUCGGGGGUAGAGCACUGUUUCGGCUAGGGGGUCAUCCCGACUUACCAACCCGAUGCAAACUACGAAUACCGAAGAAUGUUAUCACGGGAGACACACGGCGGGUGCUAACGUCCGUCGUGAAGAGGGAAACAACCCAGACCGCCAGCUAAGGUCCCAAAGUCAUGGUUAAGUGGGAAACGAUGUGGGAAGGCACAGACAGCCAGGAUGUUGGCUUAGAAGCAGCCAUCAUUUAAAGAAAGCGUAAUAGCUCACUGGUCGAGUCGGCCUGCGCGGAAGAUGUAACGGGGCUAAACCAUGCACCGAAGCUGCGGCAGCGACACUAUGUGUUGUUGGGUAGGGGAGCGUUCUGUAAGCCGUUGAAGGUGGCCUGUGAGGGUUGCUGGAGGUAUCAGAAGUGCGAAUGCUGACAUAAGUAACGAUAAAGCGGGUGAAAAGCCCGCUCGCCGGAAGACCAAGGGUUCCUGUCCAACGUUAAUCGGGGCAGGGUGAGUCGACCCCUAAGGCGAGGCCGAAAGGCGUAGUCGAUGGGAAACAGGUUAAUAUUCCUGUACUUGGUGUUACUGCGAAGGGGGGACGGAGAAGGCUAUGUUGGCCGGGCGACGGUUGUCCCGGUUUAAGCGUGUAGGCUGGUUUUCCAGGCAAAUCCGGAAAAUCAAGGCUGAGGCGUGAUGACGAGGCACUACGGUGCUGAAGCAACAAAUGCCCUGCUUCCAGGAAAAGCCUCUAAGCAUCAGGUAACAUCAAAUCGUACCCCAAACCGACACAGGUGGUCAGGUAGAGAAUACCAAGGCGCUUGAGAGAACUCGGGUGAAGGAACUAGGCAAAAUGGUGCCGUAACUUCGGGAGAAGGCACGCUGAUGGUAGGUGAAGUGACUUGCUCAUGGAGCUGAAAUCAGUCGAAGAUACCAGCUGGCUGCAACUGUUUAUUAAAAACACAGCACUGUGCAAACACGAAAGUGGACGUAUACGGUGUGACGCCUGCCCGGUGCCGGAAGGUUAAUUGAUGGGGUUAUCCGUAAGGAGAAGCUCUUGAUCGAAGCCCCGGUAAACGGCGGCCGUAACUAUAACGGUCCUAAGGUAGCGAAAUUCCUUGUCGGGUAAGUUCCGACCUGCACGAAUGGCGUAAUGAUGGCCAGGCUGUCUCCACCCGAGACUCAGUGAAAUUGAACUCGCUGUGAAGAUGCAGUGUACCCGCGGCAAGACGGAAAGACCCCGUGAACCUUUACUAUAGCUUGACACUGAACACUGGUCCUUGAUGUGUAGGAUAGGUGGGAGGCUUUGAAGCGUGGACGCCAGUCUGCGUGGAGCCAACCUUGAAAUACCACCCUUUAAUGUUUGAUGUUCUAACGUAGACCCGUGAUCCGGGUUGCGGACAGUGUCUGGUGGGUAGUUUGACUGGGGCGGUCUCCU
rnacentral:rRNA from 1 species